AAGAUGGCGUCACUUCUACGGGUGUCUGUGUGAACGAUUCUAGUUGCCGCUGAAAAAAUUGAUAUUUCUCGCAUAAAAUACAACUACCGGCCGCGUUAACCGAACGAAAAGCGUUAAUACAUAAUUCCGGUGUGAUUUACAAUUGAAAUUGUGCCAGUGCGUGCGCCAGUCGCUGUUAAAUCCCAACGCAAAGGAUUGUGUGUGUGCAUCCAGAUAAUUUCGAGUGCAUGUGAUGCCAAAAAACACAAAAUAAACCAAGAAGCAACAAGACAGAAGAGAAGAGCUCGCAAAAGCCAGUGUACGCAGAGAGAGAGUGCAGCUAGAGGAAUAUGUGAAAGAUUCAAUCGAAAAAUUGAUGUGCCAUUUAGGAGCAGAAGCAGAAGCAGAAGCAGCAACAUAGAAGCUAAGCGAGACGCGAGAGUAUUAUCCACAAAUAAAGUCAGAAAGGCGCAACAGUGCAACAAUCCCUCCAGCAACAACAAGAACCUGAAAACAACAACAGCAGACAGCAGCAAACAGAACGGAAAUCUAGAAACAGUGUAAAUACAACUGUAACGAAUUUAAAGCAAAACUACAGCAGCAGCAGCAGCAGUUGCCAGAUACAUUUCAUGCCACCCGCAGACGUUGGUUGAUAAAUGUCAAGAUAAGUCGCUACCGUUUCAACACCGCCAUCAACAUAACACAGCAACAGAGGCAGCAACAACUGCAACAGCAACAACAGCAACAGCAGACGGGUAUACUGAACAGAGAGAAACAUCCAACAUCACAGCAUUUGUUGCCAUUCGAGGAGCAGCAAAGGACAACAGGAACAACAGCAGCAGCAGCAGCAGCUGAAGCUGAACAGGAGAAGCUCUGCAUAGGCGUCGGUGGCAGCGGCAGCAGCAGCAGCAGCAGCACCAGCAGCAGCAGUAGCGGCUUAACCAAAGGUCGAGGAAACAACUGCAAGACGCCAAACUCUACUGCAAAAGUCGCCAACAUAACACAUAAAAUUUUCGGUUGGCUACGCAAGUCGCGAAACAAACGACCAGUCGAGAUCCUACGAAGCGAUUUCGAAGGCGAAGACGGCGACGGAGACGAGGGGGAAGGAGGAGCAGAAGCAGCACCUGGGAGUGCAGCUGCAGGUGGGUCAGGUGCAGGUGGUGCAGCAGCCGAUCAAUUUUCUGUGGCAAACGUUCGAUAUAAAGCCGGCAAGCUGAAUACCACACAGACAGCCACGGAGACCACCACCGCCAUCGAUUCAAACGAACCCAAAUCUGAAAAGAUGUCAUCGGGGGGCACGUUUGUGGAUCGAAUCGACCCGUUCGCCAAACGUUCACUCAAAAAGAAGGGUAAAAAGAGUCAAGGUUCCUCGCGCUACAGAAAUUCACAGGAUGUUGAGUUGCAGCAAUUGCCGCCGCUAAAAGCCGAUUGCUCCAGCCUCGAACAGGAGGAGCUUUUUAUACGAAAGUUGCGUCAGUGCUGCGUAUCAUUUGACUUUAUGGAUCCCGUCACGGACUUGAAGGGCAAGGAAAUCAAGCGGGCGGCACUCAAUGAUCUAUCCACCUAUAUAACGCAUGGGCGCGGUGUGCUUACGGAACCGGUCUAUCCGGAAAUAAUACGCAUGAUUUCUUGCAACUUAUUUCGCACACUGCCGCCCAGCGAGAAUCCCGACUUUGAUCCCGAGGAGGAUGAUCCAACAUUGGAGGCCUCCUGGCCCCACCUUCAGCUGGUGUAUGAGGUGUUCUUACGCUUCCUGGAAUCACAGGAUUUCCAAGCAACCAUUGGCAAGCGUGUGAUCGAUCAGAAGUUUGUCUUGCAGCUCUUGGAACUGUUCGACUCUGAGGAUCCACGCGAGCGUGACUUUCUCAAGACGGUGUUGCAUCGCAUCUAUGGGAAGUUCUUAGGAUUACGCGCUUUUAUACGAAAACAAAUCAAUAACAUAUUCUUGCGAUUCAUCUACGAGACGGAGCAUUUCAAUGGUGUAGGCGAACUAUUGGAAAUACUCGGCAGCAUCAUCAAUGGCUUUGCCUUGCCACUGAAGGCUGAGCAUAAACAGUUUUUGGUCAAGGUUCUGUUGCCGCUGCACAAAGUCAAAUGCCUAUCGCUAUAUCAUGCACAGUUGGCAUAUUGUAUUGUACAAUUCCUAGAGAAGGAUCCAUUCCUUACCGAGCCGGUGGUGCGGGGCCUGCUCAAAUUCUGGCCAAAGACGUGUUCCCAAAAGGAGGUCAUGUUCUUGGGCGAAAUUGAGGAGAUACUCGAUGUGAUCGAUCCGCCGCAGUUUGUCAAGAUACAGGAGCCGCUCUUCCGGCAGAUUGCCAAAUGUGUCUCGAGUCCACAUUUUCAGGUUGCUGAACGCGCUCUAUAUCUGUGGAAUAAUGAGUAUGCCAUGUCGCUGAUUGAGGAGAACAAUGCGGUGAUUAUGCCCAUCAUGUUCCCGGCUCUAUAUCGCAUCAGCAAGGAGCACUGGAACCAGACCAUUGUGGCGCUCGUCUAUAAUGUAUUGAAAACAUUCAUGGAAAUGAAUUCAAAGCUGUUCGAUGAGCUCACCUCCAGCUACAAGGCGGAGAGGCAAAAGGAAAAGAAACGUGAACGCGAUCGCGAGGAACUGUGGAAGAAGCUGCACGAACUCGAAUCGAAUCGUUCUAAUGGGCGCACCGCAGGCGGCAGCGCUGCUGCGAAUGCAUCGAACAGCGCUUCAUCAUCAAACGCGGCGGCGUCCACGUCCUCCCAAUUGCAGCCACCAACCAGCAGCACAGCCGCCAUUAACUCUCAUCAGCAGCAGCAGUCGAAUAGCAGCAGCAGCGGAAGUCUGUCCAGCGGCGGCGCCGGCGGUGAAAAUAAUCCUGCGACCACAAAUGCAAAAAUCAAACAGGAUAAGGCGGCGGACAACUAAACAGCCAGCAGCACACGCAAAACGCAAGGCAUGCGCCCGAAAAAUAACUAACAAUAAUGAAAAAACACGAGAGCCGUAAAGCGCAGUCCGUUGGCUAACACGUAAAAGCAUCUAUCGUUCCACAUCCCACACGUAACAGAUAGACAAGAGACAGACGGAUAGACACAGAGAGAGAGAGAGAGAGAGAGAGCGGGGAGGCCGACAGGCAGGCAUCUACUACAGGAGCAGGAGGAGUCGAAGGGAAUACAAAAGAAAAGAAUGGAAAUUGAGGAAGAACCUAUAUGGCCUAAAUACUAAGCAACGUAUGUAAGAAGGUUUUGCAUCUUUAUAUUAGCGUGUAAUUAAACGAAAUUAAAACCGAAAGCUAAAGAUUUAACAGCCAAGGAUAGUAAUUGCCAUUUGAUAAGCAAUAGACAGACACACACAGAUGUUAGGUCUUAACUGCCUCUAAAGACACAAACCACAAAGAAAAACCAAACACCAAGGAACAGGACCGCAGAGAGAGAGAGAGAGAGAGUCGAAGCAACACAGAAAUAUCUCGUAAAAUUCCUAAACCAUAAAUCACUCCAGUUCACUCGCCACAGAUACUAGCACUAGACCCUCCCUCCUCCCCUCCUAUAGCAUCCAUCUCUAGUUAAUGUUUGAAGAAGCUCACAUAGGAUGCCAAUCAGAAUUUAAACAACAAAAAAACCAGCAUUAUUAUAUAGAGCGAAUGAUGAUGGAAAUGUAAAAAAAAAACAAAUGUUGAAAAGAAGAAAAAAUGAACACAAAAAUGGAUGAUAUAUAGUAGGUAUACAUUGCAUACUCGUUAAAGACGAGCAUAAGUGUCCCUUCAAAUACGAGUAUAUAUAUAUAUAGGUUACACACACAUACAAACAAACAAACAAAAAAAAAACAUUUAUAUAAUUUGCGUUCCGUUUUUGUAUUCUUGUGAUUGUCGUUUUCCGUUGCACCCUGAGUUAAUCAAUCGGUUUUAGUGUCUGCUUUCAAGAACUUGUAUGGGUAAACUUAACUAUAGUUUCUAUUAUUGUAUUUAUAUGUACUAUGUAUAAACUAUAAAACGAGCAUGUUAAAAUGUAGUAGCCAGUAGCCAGUAUGCUUAGGACCCGGGCUAAGCGACAGAUGAUGAAUGAUAAUGAUGGUGUAAGCAAAAAUGCAAAAGCAAAACUCGUUAAGUACUUUUAGAGACAAACAACAAACAACCCUGUACUAAAGAAGUGUACUAAAAGAAUAAAGUCGCAUUAACAACGUUGCAAAAAGUAAAUAAAUAAAUGCAUUAAACAAAAACUUAAAGAAGACAAAA